rnacentral:rRNA from 1 species
CGUCGGUGGACCCCCACUGCUGCGGCCUUCAAAGCGACCCCAGGUCAGG